rnacentral:lncRNA from 1 species
UAAGCACAGAUUUGGUCAAUUUGAUUUCUCUAGCUUGAUAUGCUGUCAAAUUUAACACCUUAUAUUUUUUACAUAACAAUUUUACUAUAUAUACUAUUUUGUUUAUUAAUCUGGUCGACAAUAUAUAAAACAAGAUGAUGUGGUAUGAUUGCCAAUGACCCAACUCUUCAUAAGAGACAAAAUGACAAAACUUAAACAGCUAUAUAAUAGGUCACCGUACAGCCUUCAAACAUGAGUAAAAUCCAUAUCGCAUAAAUCAAGUCAGAUAAUAAAGUCACCGAAAUGACCAAUGUAAAUCAAUUCAGAGAAAAAAAGUAUCAGCCUAAUUUAGUACAAAAUAAUGAGCAAAAAACUAAUAUGAUAUAUAAGUCUGAAUUGAUAAUUUCUACUUUGUUCCAGAAAUAUCCGAAUCCAUGUAUAUCGUACAGCAACAUACAUUGACUUUUUGGCCUUUUCCCAGACCAUCAUAGUCUACAUUGAUAUAUACAAUAUCCGCUGAUUACAAUACUUUUAUAGAAUCGGGAAGGAAGACGGACGGAUACGAUAUGUAAACGUUGUUAUUAUUGUCAAUUAUUCCGCACUUACAUUGUAUUUUGUUUCAAUUCUUCUUAAGCGGGAUACUAAACUUUUAUUGAACUGCAUUUAAUAUUGUUAAAAAUUAGAUAAAUGUUUCCUUUGAAGUGUAAAAAUAAAUAACUUCCUGGUUGGAACUAGUUCUCGGAAAUGUUUACAAAAAUCUCUAUUAUCGAGUCAGUUACAGUACCGUUGGCGUUGAAUGGUCAUAUUUGUUUUUGUAAACAUCGGUAAUGUUGAAUGGUCAUAAUGUUAUGUUAAAACAGUUUAACUGUUACAUCGUAUUGUUUGUUGAAUGGAAAUAUUUACAUCAGUUUUGUUGAAUGAUCAAAUUUUACAUCAGUAAUG